ensembl:lncRNA
UAAGCAUGAAAAGACGGGGAACGUGUGAGGCCAUGUGUCUCCAAUAAUAUGUCUGUAUUUUUAAGGAGGACUGGGUGAUAUUACCAACACUAAUACUAACAGGAUACCAACACAACAGCAUGUUGUUCUCCACUUUGAUCACAGCUUAAAUAUCUAACUGUCAUGAGAACUGGAAGGAAAUUAGAAUAGCACUUCUGCAGGCUACCAAGAAUGAUCUGAAAAUAUCUUUCAAAAGCAAGGAUGUCAAAGUCUAGGGAAGUUUUAGAGAAAUAUCCACCAUCCAAGCAAAAAAAAGACAGGCACUGACACACAGGCACGAGGGCAUACAUAUGUGGGUGUUUCAAGGUCCUGUAUUAGGUCCCACAGUCCUCUGACAAAGACCAGAAUAUCUAUUUUCUAUUGCACCUUCUCCCUCCAGCCCUCCCCUCCCGGCUACUACUGGCGUGUAACACCGUCAUGCUCCUGCUGCCUGGCAACGCCUCUUCACUGGGGGACGAAAAGUGGUUCAUUGUUUUUCUGCCAUUCAGAGCAGCUGUCUCAAGGUCCCUGCCUCUGAGGGAGAGGAAGCCACCUUUUUUUUCCUUUCUGUUUGUGCGAACCUGUGGGCACUGACUGAAACAAACAAGGUGGACCACUUACAAUCUUAUGAGCACACCGAAGGAAAAAUGAAUUAACACACUCUUCAGGCACAUGAAGGAUGCAGGGUAUUUAAAGCCUACAGUAAACCUUUGUCUGUUCAAAUUGUUUGAUAUUUCCUCGGUAAAAACAUUUCUUGAUAGCGUUUUGGAAGAGUAAAACAGAAUUGAGAAAGGGAGAUGCAUAGAGGAGGAGAUGAAGAUACAGGGGGGGGAAAUCUAUCACGGUCACAACUUAAGUGGCCAAUCACGUAAUGCUAUCUCAUUAUGUCAUAUUUAGAUCCAACCUGCCUGCAGAUCAAGGAAAUGUCACCAAGCACCACAGAUGUGGUGUCUCAUACUGACCCUCUGAAGGUUUUAUCAUUUUCUAAGUAAUGCUCUCAUGUUUCUUCACCUUUUAGACUUCAGCGCCUUUGUUAAAGACAGUCUCUCAGUUGACCCUGUAUUCUUACAGUAGUGACUGUUCUAUCAAAUCAGAGGAAAUACAAUUGGGCCAAUUCAACAAUAAAGCUUAGUGACCAACAGGCGCGCCCACACACACGCACGCACGCAUGCAGACAUGCACGCACACAACAGGGACCGGAGAUGCAUCCAGUAGAGGCAUGCACACACAAACCUAACCUGACAAAAGCACGGCAGUGAGAGUGGGGGCAGACACACUUUUGUACUUGAAAGCAAUUGCACCAUUGUGAUCAGAGCAGAUAAAAUGAGGUCCGGGGGAAAAGAAAUAAAAAUGUCACUCCAUUUUUAAACCUUUGAUGUAAGAGUCACAGCUGCCGUUUGAUUCUCAGGGCCUGCAAAUUGGAUAGAUGGUGAAAAUGCACCGUAUCUUCUCUCUGCACCCUGUCACUCUUUUGUGUUGGUUUUGGUUGGGCACAUAAAGAGACUGGUGUCUCUGAUAAAGUUGUCCGGUGUCUGACUCUUUCACCUCCAUUUAAAGGAGCAUCAUUAAUCAUUCAUAUGGGUUGGACGGAAAAGUAUGGAAUGUGUGGCUCAACCCUCUGUGGUAUUUGAGUAACAUCUGCCCAUGCAUUUCACACCUAGGCCUUCAGUGAUGUCACACACACUCCUAUGUGAAUUUAUCCACCUCUGAUAGGCUCAUUGUUAGAAUAUCUGCCAUCUAUUCUCAUCCAUAAGUCAUCGGGGUUUGAAUUCAAUAGCUCGUUGAUCUACACGAUUUUGCUCGUUCAUGUCUACACAGAAUCAUCAGGUUCAGUUUUCUAGCUCUGUAUAACUCCGCCUCCCACUAGUGCGUAUCCAAUCAAGAGACGUUCACGUCCUGAUGAUGAUGCCUGCUACCUGGCCCCGGGAUCACACACUCAAAAUCUGAUUGCUUAACGCCGCAAUUUCGUUUCGGUUGUGAAAGCUACAACAUAAAGGCCAGCACUCAAAAUCUCGACCUGAGAGGAAAGCAAUGAAAUGAAGCGAAUGGAUGAUGGGGAAUAACUUAAUACAUAUUUGUGGAAAGAGCAUAUCAAAAUGUUAUUUGUACUUGACGAUUUGCCUGACGGCUGGCCAUGGUAUUAAAGUCAAUGAAAAAGGCUCAAAUGUUUAUGACUGCCGGUGUACUUGCCAUAACUUCUUGAAAAUCAUUUACAAUUACAGCUUUUUCUGCCACAUGUUUGAUUCUGUUUU